GGGGGGGGGGGGGGGGGGGGCGGGGAGGGGCGAGGCGAGCGAACAGACGAGGAGCUUGCUCCUCUGACGUUAGCGGCGGACGGGGGAGUAACACGUGGAUAACCUACCUAUAAGACUGGGAUAACUUCGGGAAACCGGAGCUAAUACCGGAUAAUAUAUUGAACCGCAUGGUUCAAUAGUGAAAGACGGUUUUGCUGUCACUUAUAGAUGGAUCCGCGCCGCAUUAGCUAGUUGGUAAGGUAACGGCUUACCAAGGCAACGAUGCGUAGCCGACCUGAGAGGGUGAUCGGCCACACUGGAACUGAGACACGGUCCAGACUCCUACGGGAGGCAGCAGUAGGGAAUCUUCCGCAAUGGGCGAAAGCCUGACGGAGCAACGCCGCGUGAGUGAUGAAGGUCUUCGGAUCGUAAAACUCUGUUAUUAGGGAAGAACAAAUGUGUAAGUAACUAUGCACGUCUUGACGGUACCUAAUCAGAAAGCCACGGCUAACUACGUG
rnacentral:rRNA from 1 species